CACAUCGAUGAAGAACACAGUGAAAUGUGAUAAGUAAUGUGAAUUGCAGAAUUCAGUGAAUCAUCAAAUCUUUGAACGCACCUUGCACCUUUUGGUAUUCCAAAAGGUACACCUGUUUGAGUGUCAUGA
rnacentral:rRNA from 1 species